UACGUAGGGACCGAGCGUUGUCCGGAAUUAUUGGGCGUAAAGAGCUCGUAGGCGGUGUGUCGCGUCGGCCGUGAAAACCUGCAGCUUAACUGUGGGCUUGCGGUCGAUACGGGCUGGCUUGAGUGCGGUAGGGGAGACUGGAAUUCCUGGUGUAGCGGUGAAAUGCGCAGAUAUCAGGAGGAACACCGGUGGCGAAGGCGGGUCUCUGGGCCGUAACUGACGCUGAGGAGCGAAAGCGUGGGGAGCGAACAGG
rnacentral:rRNA from 1 species